rnacentral:lncRNA from 10 species
GGCCAACGCCAUGUUGCCUGCCUUUCUACUGCACACAUAGCGACAAAGAAAAGGAAGAGGGAGCCUCCAUGUUGAACAUGCCUGGCCCCCAGCUAGCCUUUUCCUGUUGGCACAGCUGCCGGCAUUUACCUAUGCAGGCUUCCAGCUUGCUUAUUUAUGUCUGCAGCUCGAUUUUACAGGCUGCUCUUUGUUAGAAAAGAAAUGAUUUGGGGGCUGCUUUUUGUUAAAAGGGAAGCCUGAGGACUCUCUUACCCUCGCUAACCGCCUAAAUAAUUUCCUUUUAGCUCCUGUAUCACCUUCAUUCCUCCAAAUAAGGAAGCGCCAGGUCUUUCUUGGAUCCUAGCUAAAACAUUCUUUGCAGCUUCACAUAAUUAUUUUACCACCACCCCUCCCGGUUCUCUUCCUGGGGUAUCAAAGCCGGGCUUCCUGAAAUAGAACUCCGAUGAAAAGGAUAAAGAAAGCUCAAGCUUAGCUGCUGGCAUUUGCGUGCACUGAUUCACCACCUCCAGCCCAGCUACCCACAGGCAGUUUUUCCCUGACACUGAAUCAAAU